GGGUUUAGAGUACUUGGAAUGCCUCAUUAGCAUGGGGAAGCAUUUCAGGAAACUCAGGCACUGCCUGAACAGGUUUUAUCAGGAAAAAGGAAAUUGAUCCUAUAAUCUAAUUGAGGCUACAUGGCAUUCCUCAGGUAAAGCUGAGGCAUAUGUGUGGGCUUCGGAUUUCUCAGAGAAGGCCAGAGAAGGAGAAGUCCCACUAAUUAAGGGACUCCUCCAUUAUGCACCAAGCCCCAAAAGACUAUGUGGUCAAUGGUAGACUGACUUUAAUUAGAGUUUUCCCACAAAUUGUAACAUCAAUAAUCUUUCACAUAUUACAACUCAAGUUUUUAGAUAAAAUUCUAACUGAAAUCAACUUACAAGUAGAGAUACUUCUAGAUGCAUCCCUUCCUCCAAAAAUUCUAAUGGCUCUUCUGGGGGGCUGUGGCAGUCUGAAUAGGUAUGGACCCCAUAGACUCCUGUGCUUGAAUGCUUGGUCCAUAAGAAGUAGCACUUUUAGGAGGAGUGGCCUUGUUGGAGUAGGUGUGGCCUUGAUGGAAGAAGUAUGUCAUUGUGGGGGUGGUCUCAUAUGGUCAAGCUAUGCCCAGAGUAGCACACAGUCUCCUUCUGUUGCCUUCAGAUCAAGAUGUAGAACUUUCAGCUCUUUCUCCAGUACCAUGUCUGCCUGCACAGUGCCAUGUGUCCCACCAAAAUGAUAAUGAGCCAAACCUCUGAAACUGUAAGCCAGUCCCAAAUUAAAUGUUUUCCUUUAUAAGAGUUGCCAUAGUCAUGGUAUCUUUUCACAGCAAUGACACUCUAACUAGGACAGGGACCUAUCUGCCAAAUUCUCCCCUAGCCACUUUACCUGGCUCUGUAUCUUCUGAGGUUGGCUUUUGCAAGAUGAUUUUAUGGACAUAUUCUGUUUUUGUGUUUUCUCUUUUCCAGUUUUCUCUAAAUAGUACAUCUUCUUUAAUGGUUUGUGACAGUUUAGAAAUACUUUUUAGACCUUGACACUUAAUGUGAAAUUUAUCUUGAAUGAUCUUAAUUAAAGUUUAUCUGCCUGCUGAUGCCGGUUCUGGUGUUGUCAUUCACCAUAUGUACUCACAGGGCUUCCCUACCCACACUGGCCAUCUCUGCGUCCAGUGCCCUCAUGGAUUGUAUCAGUUUAUGAUCAUGAGAAUGGGGAGACCCACACAAUUUAUGGGAUAAGAGGCAUAAGACCGUGUUUCUGUGAAGUAUAGACAUUACUAUUAGAUAUUUAGAGACACAAUGCAAAAUCUGGCAGAGAGGUUGCUUGCUCUUCUAUGUGUGUAAUCUCAGUGAUUGUCCCAUCCUUAAGUGGCCAAGUUCAUAUUGUUUCCAGUACCAUCUCUAGGUUUAGGGACUGCUAUGGUCUGAAUGUGUCUAUCUUUUCAACCUGUUAGAAUAUAGUGUCUUUCUCCAAGUGAUUAGGUGACAAGACUGAAUUCUUAUGAAUAUGGUUGGUACCCUUACAAAAUCAUCCUCAAAAUGACCCCUCACCCCUUUUGCCAUGUGAGGUUGAAGAUAGAAGGCUAUCUACAGUUAGGUAGGUCCACCACCAGAAGCAAUCCUUCCAGUGCCUUGAUCUUGGAACUGUGAGAAAUAAACAGUUUAACAGACAUCCAACAUUUGACAUUUUUGUUAUAGCAUCUCAGACAAACACAAAACAAAUAUGACCAAUUCAGAUGCUGACCCAACUAUGUAUCAUCCUAAUCCAAGAAUGAUCACAUAUGUGUUUCUGUAACCAGUAUCUGCCUCUCAGCAUGUUUUCCAACAUGUGAGAAAGUGUGGUGGUGGUGAUCCUGUUGCUGCUGGAUGGUCUUGUCCACUUCUCAGUAUGACCGUCAGGCAGCUUGCACACAAGGGUAUGAACAGAUUAAAUUGCUUAUAUUGAUUUCUCUCUAAACAGUUGUCCAUUUGCCCUUGGCAUAGCACUAUAUCUUAUCACAUAUGAUAAAAUCAAAGAUGAUCUGUGAAAAGGAUGUCAGAUAGGCUUGCUUCUAUUUGGGAAUGACUUCUAUUGUCAUUGACACAAAAAAGGCUCUGACUCAUUAGCUCUCCAUCUCCCCAUCUACUUAUAAUGUUAUUAUACGUAGCCUUUCCUACAUAAGACUCAUUUAAAACUAAUACUCUAAUGUAAAUUCUAUAAUGUUUGCCUUAAAAUGUAUCCUAGGAUCACAUAAUAUUCCAGACAUGUUAUUCCACCUGAAUAGAUUAAGAUUGAAUGUGUGUGUUGGGAUGUGGGAAGAUGACUUCCUUAAGGUAACUGAAAAGGAAAGAAGAGAACACACAUAUAAUUCAGGAGGUCAGUUGCUACUGUGAAGAAAGGAAAAUAUGACACC
rnacentral:lncRNA from 1 species